AACAAGGAACUGCAGAUGCUGGUUUUAUCGUAGAUAGACAUCAAGUGCUGUAGUUACUCAGUGGGCCAGGCAGCACCUCUGGAGAAAAGGGAUGGGUGACUUUUCGGGUUGGGACCCUUCUUCAGAC